AAUAAACGAUAUCUUGGAGUCCAUGAACCUUGACAACCAUAGAGCAUAUGAGAUGAAACGACGCCUUGGGGAACAGAGAGCACAUAUAGUGAUCUGUUGGGAACAGAGAGCACAUGUAGUGGUUUGAUGAAAGCAAAUCCCAAAUAUCUAAUUUUCCUUAUCGAUUGAAAAGCUUUUAACUGAAGAAGAAGAAGAAGAAGAUGAAGAAGAUUUACAGGUCUACAUCAAGUGGAGUCAUAAUCCAUCAAAACUCAAUUGAAAUUUCGCCUUGUUUCUUUGGGCGAAGAAGAUGAAUGACCUUCCCAACAAUUUCGGCUUGAAAGGAAGCUUCCAACGUCACUGCAACUUUCCGGUGAUCGGAGACUCCCUCAUCUUCAACUUCGCACGUGUCAUCCAUUCUGUUUUUCACUUGUCACGUGUGUCUACACUACCUUUCCUUCACGCUAAGGAUUUACAUUUAGGCAUUGGGCUUUUAUUUGUUGUUCCUUUACUUAAGGGUUUUCCUUGUUGGGUUUGGUUUUCAUUUUCAGAUCCAGUAGAAAAUAAUGGCCCAUGUUUGUUUUGGUUUACUCAUAACCAAACAUUGUAUGGUUUCUUUGGCUUAUUAAUAAUACUGAAACAUCAGUGACAAAAAAAAUAGUAGGAAAAACUGAGAACCCAAC
rnacentral:sRNA from 1 species